CGUUCAAUUGGAAGUCUGGUCAUUUUAGUGCUAUUGACGUAUUUAUGAAAGAGGCAUAAAAGAGAAAUGUUGCGGCGAGUGGAUAAUAAUUGAAGUGAAUAAUCCAUUUUAAGUUGUGUUACGCUGCAGCAGAAAUUAUAAUUACGAGAAAUGAAUCGGACUGCCCUAUUUUGAACUGCUACAUGCACCAGAUUUUGCUACAUGCAAUUUUUCACACCAGAUUCUGCUACAUGCAAUUGCAACACUUCAUAAGUUGUAUAAUAAUACUGCCUCCUCCUGCGGUGAUGCUUCAGCAACCACCUCAAGAGAGCAGCCACCAUCAAAACGGUCACGCUCGUCAAGACGACAACGGACCUGCGAGGGCGCUAGCAAUGCAGGAGAGGGCACAAGCCAUGAAGCUGUGGCGCAAGCGUGCAUGGAGCACCUUGAACACAUCAGAGCGAACAAGGGGGUCAUCAAAAAAG